UUCCAGAGAGAGGGGAAGGCACAUUUAUACAUAAUUACAUAAUAAAGUAGUCAUGGAAUAAGAUUGUACCUCUUAAACCAUGGGGGAAAUGUAACCAUCUCAGGUUAUUUUGUUUUUCUAAUUGUCUAUUAGAAGCAAUGGAGAAUAUUGUGAGAAUUUCAAUUUUUAGUCAGUCCUGGAGUGGGAAAUUGAACAAGCCUUGGAUACAAAAGAGAGAGAGACUUUCUCUGGACCUGCGGGCUGGCUGAGGAAUGAUUCUGGUGGUGAGUGCCUCUGACUCGUGGAGCAGGCCAGGUGAGCAGUACCCUUGACUUCCAGCUGUUUUCCUCUUCUUGGGCCAUCAACAGGAGUGCCAGGGACAGCAACUAUGGUGGGUGCUUUGUUUCCAAACUGCUCAUCUUGACAAGCCACAAUUCAGAAAACUGAGAAUAAUCUGAGGACUCACGGUGAGCAGGUACCACUCCACAGUCAUAGGGGAGGAGUAGUUCUUAGUACAGUGUUACCCUCGACCCCCACCACCCUGACACAGUGGAUGCAUCUUUGGGAAAACACUUGCAUGUGAAAGAUGAGCAUAGCUGGUUGCAUGGGUAAGACAACCGGAAAGGGAUGGUAGGACCCAGUUCCUCCUCUGCCCCUAGAUGAAAACUUGAGCUAUCCCCUGAACUUCCUGGACUUUCUCUGUAAUUAAAAAAAAAAGUUAUCAGUUAUUUAAGGUCUCAAAAUAUAGUCUCAACUUACAAAUUAAAUUGUCCAAUCUCACAUCACAGUGGAAUUUUCUAUCUACAUUUACAGUCAUGACUUUUCUCCUCCUUCUACUUUGGGUUUGCUGCAGAGAGGAAGGCUGAAGUGAGAGAAGAGGGUCCAAGGGGCCACUCUUCCCUUUUCCAUUCAGUGCUUUUACUCUUCUCUCCCCGCUUCUGCUUUGUAUACCUCCGGGGCUGGAGCACAAUGAUUCAGAAGAAGGAAAAGGAGCACAAGAGUUCUGCCAUGAGUGGUCCUGUUGAGUGAGGGCACACAUCUGGGUUUUCCAGAAUCCUCAUUGCUGGAGGUCUUCAUCUUCAGCACUUGCGAUGAUGAUGCCUCCUCCCAGCUAGUUGCUUAUUCCUUUUGCAGCCUCCUUGCAUGUGGUGGUGCCCCAACUUUGUUUCUGCCAAGUUCUUCUCAUCUGUUCAGGUCCUCUUAGGAGGUUGUGGUGGUCAGAUGGCAGGCAUCCAGACCUCUUCCUAACUCUCCAUGUUUGCAGUGGUUGGAGAACUCGUCUGUUUCAGUUCAUCAGGCUUCAUUCUGCUGAGGUGUUGGGGCCUUGUUCAAAGAUGACUGGACUGUAAGGGUAAUCCUGGCCUCACUCUCCUUUCCCAGCCAUCUUGAAAUGCCCUCCAGAGCAAGACGGAAUGACAGCAGUCACCCCUGACUCAGACACUUCCUCGAGUCACUGACAACUGCCAAAGACGAGAGGCUGGAAGCUAGGCUAAGAUGGAAAGAUGAGAGGUUUGGACUUCACCUCCCCUCAUUGCCAUUUGUGACUUGUGAGUUAUGUUGCUUUUUUUGGAGGGGGCGGUGGGCAGUUGUCCCAGGUCAGUAACCUUUUUCCUUUGUCCCAAGAUAAAUCCCCAAAGCAAUUACCAAGAAAAAGAAAAAAACAAAGUUUCUGUUUGGCUUUUUACUGCUCUGGCCCAUAAACAGCAGUCUGGGAUCAAGGGCGUUGUGGGUGCACAGGAUUUAAUCUCCGCCAGGUUUUUGUCCCAUAAACAUCCUUUCAGCUGUCCUGGCCCCAGACAUCAUUCCCUUUGUGCUGCUGAUGCAUGGUCUGCGAUGGAGUGGCCUGCUACAUUGCUCUCUGUGGACCCAACUACCACCAAUUCUGACCCUUCAAGCCUGGAAAAUCCCAGCUCAUUCAUGCUUGAGAUAUUUGGACCCAAGACAGUCCCUGACUUGACAGUUAAAUAUAAUUCAAUGGAACAGAGAGGCCUGGCAUAGUGGAAAGAGCACGGCUUUGGGGAGUCAGGACAAUUUAAGUCUGAAUCCCAGUGUCAUGCCUACAAACAAUGUGACUUUGGUCAGACCAGUUACUUAACUUCUGGAAGCCCUCGUCUUUCCUCUGAUUCCUACUAUCAGGGCUGUUUUGUGGACUGAAUAAAGUAUCAGAUGUAAAGUGAUUGGUAAAGUAAAACCGAGUUCUUAUCCCCUUUGGUCACUGGUGUCACAGACUGGAGUGCUGAAACCACAUUUUCAGAAGGUUUCUGGUGAAACUAAACCCAGUCCUGAAGAAACUAACGAAGAUGAUGGGGGGGGUCCAGAUCCCAGGCCCUAUGAGGAGCAGGUGAAGGAACUGAGCAUUUGGUGUGGAGAAGAUGAGGAUCUUCACUAACUGCCUUCACAUCUGGGAGUCACCCAAAUCUGAAAGCAAGAGCAGAUUUGGUCUCUCCGCCCCCCCCGCCCCGCCUCUGUUACCAAAGUUACUGGAUGUCUUCCAUGUGCCAGACUCUGUGCUUAUCACUAGGAUAGACUGGGGAACAAGAGGCCUCCAGACCUCUUGGAGCUUUUAAUCUACUUGGAAAGACAAACAUUGGAUGAGUAAUUUUAGGUGUGAUUGGUCAUCAAAAGGGGAGAGUAGUCAGUGGCACCUUGGGGUUUUAUGAGUGGUCAGAAUUAGGACCAGUGCAUGGGAACUACAGCGUGAUUGGGUUCAGCCUAGAAGUCAGAAGAGAGGCCUGUGACCGUGGUAGUGGGCCGAGUUGUGUACUGCACAAGGUUCUAACCGAGGUGAUGAGUGAGGAUUGAGACCUGCGCCUUACUUUAUUGUCUCUGCCUCGAAGCAGUGCUUUUUCUGAUUUGCACAGAGCCAUCACAUAGUCUGGUUGUGGCCCUGAACUGAGGUCACCAAAAGGUGGCCCAUGACAGUAUCUGGGCUACAGAUACUCUUUAUAGGCCAGCAAAUUCUUUUUGUUUAUUUGUUUGUGUGUGUGUGUUUAGUUUGAAGGAGCUGUCAGAUUUUAAAGUUUGGGAGAUUUUACAUUAGCAUCUAGAUUUCUGGGAUCUGUGGGAAAAUUGGGAAAUCUGCUAACACUGGCCCCUAUGUUCCAACAAGGAGGAAAUUACCUGGUGGUGAGUGAUGGCUGCUCCCUUUAGAGAAUUAAACUGUUCCCCACCCCAAUCCUAUCACUCAAAUACUUUCCCACCCUGGAUCCUGGGCAAAGGAGUUUGCUACCUCUGCUCUUUACACAUCCAGAACUGAAAGGAAUGGGCUGUCCGCUGAUGGAGUGACGAACUCUAUCCUUGCUGGUGUCCAAGCAACAACUGUAGACUCUGGGUCAGAGAUGAUUCAGGAGCCUUUCCUGCCUGGUAAGUUUGGGCCAAGCUUUAGGCUUUGCAGGUGCCUGAACCCCUAUGGAUGAAAACCAGUCCUUGGUCCCAUGACACAGUCAUUAUGUACGUGGCACCAAAGUAUAUGGACCAUAAUGAGAGCUUCCCUUUCUGUGGUUUUUACAUGACGAAGCCAAACACCUCAAUGUAUUUAUAUGGUGAGUUCCUGGCAUGGACCCAACAUUACACUAUGUGAUAUGGGAAGGAUUACACAUGAGUUUAUUUUAGCUCUAUUCAGUCUACUACAUGGCAGAAGGACCAGCUAACUAGCUAACUAACGAACGAAAUGAAACUAACUAGCUAAGUAACUACCUAACUAACAUGGGCUGAAUUGUGUCCUCCCCUGCUGAAAAACAAUUCAGGUGUGACAGAUUCCAUCCCUGGUCCUGGACACAGAAUAUGGAUUAUUACCCCCCUACCUGGACCUCAGAAUGUGAUUAUAUUUGAAGGUAAGGCCUUUAAAGAGGUAAUUAAGUUACAAUGGAAUCGUUAGGAUAGGCCCUAAUCCAGUAUGACUGGUACCCUUAGAAAAGAGAGCUGAGCAAACAGUGAGAGGGUGACCAUCCACAAGCCAACGGGAGAAACCGGAGAAUAAAUGAAACCCACUGACACCUUGAUCUUGAACUUCUAGUCUCCAGUGUUGUGAGAAAAUAAAUUUCUGUUGUUGAAGCCCCCACACUGUGGGAUUUUAUUAUGGCAGCUGCUAUAAACUGAAUGUUUAUGCUCACCAAAAUUCAUAUGUUGAAACCUAAUCCUCACUAUGAUGGUAUUAGGAAUCGGGGCCUUUGGGAAACAGGUAGGUUGUAAGGAUGGAGCCAUCAUGAGUGCAAUUCACACCAUUACAAAAGAGACCCCAGAGAGUUCCCUCCCCACUUCCACCAUGUGAGGACACAGCAAGAAGACAGCCCUAUCUAUGCACCAGGAAGCAGGCUUUCACCAGUGAAUCAGCUGGAGCCUCGAUCAUGGACCUCUGGCCUCCAGAACUGUGAGAAAUAAAUUUCCAUUUUUUAUAAGCCACCCAGUGGGUUAUUUUGGUAUAGGAGUCCAAAAGGAGUAAGACAGCAGCCUUAGCAAACUAAUACACUAGCUAACUAACUAAAUAAUCACACACCCAAU